GCUGCCCAUUGUUAGAGCUUGAAGUUGAAGCCACUGGCUGGUGAACUCACAAGUGUAGGUAGGGUGCUAUGUGAGGGGAAGCUUUUCACUAACACCACAAGGGUCUCUGGCCCGAGUGGAGUUUGAUAGUAGCAUUUGCUAUGAAA
ensembl:snoRNA SNORA62 Small nucleolar RNA SNORA62/SNORA6 family